rnacentral:tRNA from 1 species
AGGGAUAUAGUGCAACGCGUUUGUUUUGGGUACAAAAUGCCAUGGGUUCAAAUCCUUUCAUCCCUA